CUACUUUUCUCUUCCCUCCCUAGUGUACGUUUGCCCAUAACGCUGCCCGAUUAGAUGAAAUCCCGGCGUCCGAGAUGUACUUUCGCCCGGGAAGAAUUUUGGAAGCUGUGAACAUCAUGGAAACCAUGAAAGCCUAGUGCACGGAUACUGAAGUAUCGAUGAAGAUUGGAAGGGAAUACACCUCAAUGGAUAGCUGGACCAUCAACCGGCAGAAGCCCCGCAGGCUACCUCGCCAACAGCAGCUGGAGGUUGCAGCCUGCAUGGCAGCAGAGAGGUACGCAUGGCAGGAGCAGCUGGCGGAAGAGAUGCCGGACUUGUGGGAGGCGACUGCACUCAUCCCAGGCACCCUGCGACAGGUCCUUACUGCCAUUGCGCAUGGCCUUCGCGAGCCACCUCAGCUGUGAUGGACUUGAUUUUUUUUAUGAUCCUUCAGUGAAACCAGACUACAAGUGCAGCUUAUCUUUCCAUUCAAACUGACGCGGCGUUAUUUGGUGGCGGUGCUCGCAUGUCUUCACAACCUAUUGAGGCCUGUACUAGGCAGCCUGUAAAAUAUAUGCAGGUCAUGCAUGACAAUGGCAACAAAAAAUUGAUAGUGUCAUGAUGCCGUCUGAAACACGAAUGCGCAUCACGUUUUUUUAUAUAUAUGUUGCAUGAAAGUAUGAUAUGACUAUCUGCAGCCCACAAGUGAAACAGUGGCUUCGCACUCUCAUUACUGGGCCUACAGCAACCAACAAUAGGGUGAACAAAUGUGUGUUGCUAGUUCAUAACUUUUUUUAAAUAUGUAAUUUUCAUGUGUAGUUUUACUUGCUGUACAAGUUUGCCCUGGUGAGAGAGUUAAUAUAGACUGCAUGUCUAAUUUUUUUCAACUUUUCAGUUGGGUGCGUGCUUUUAUUUUUCUGUUACCGCGAUGUUUCAACAUCUACUGAUUUUCGGGGAACAUAUGCACGACGUGAUCUUUUUUUUUGUAGUUUGACCACAGCAGUUUUUCACACACAUCUACUAUAGAAGCAUUUAAAUAGCAUGCUAUGAUAACUGUUAUUGAAAUUCCCCGUAAGGAUUUUUAUGCUACAUUUUGUCGAGUUUGCACUUUGACAUCCUUAGCGCCUGUCUUUAGCCACAAGUGGCCGUGUUUAAACUCCUUGUUAACAGCAAGUGAUUUUACUUGUGAUAGUUAUUAUAAUAUUUUACUUGUCCUUACCAGCGAUAGCAAUACAAUCUAGUCCCCAUUGUAGUUAAGCACGGUCUGUGAUAUAGGUAACUAGCCAUAGACGUGGCCAAUAUUAUACUAUACAUUUACUACCAGGCUGUUCUUGUAGUCGUUGUUCCAAGAAAGAUAGUUGAAGUGCGAGUUAUUUUUUCAGUUAUGUUGUUCUUUAAAAGCAUGUGGCUGCUAUUUUAUACUGGUAAUACAUAAUAUGGCAGUAGCCAUAGAACAGAAAUUCUAUUUUGUGCUACCACUAUGUUGAAUGCAUAACAGUCAAGACUCGCGACACCUUUUGUACUGUGUAGUUGCUGGGUGAAGGUGAAUGGUUGUGCAUGAGUCUCAAAAAGUCAUUAAGCUCAUGUCAGAUAUUUGUGGGAUUUCAUAUUUGCCAACUGUUCAUUUACAGUGUAUUGUAUCCCAUGUAGUGCGACAUCACGCUGUGCUUUUGCUAGCAUUAAAUCGUGUUCUGUGUACAUACAGCUGUGCACUGGAAUGAGUGUCAUUUACUUUUAUUAACGAUGACACUGACGGUGUGUUAUGUGUUUUAUUUACACCGGUGGCAUGAAUAAAUUAUUUUCAACA